UGGGGAAUAUUGCACAAUGGGCGCAAGCCUGAUGCAGCCAUGCCGCGUGUAUGAAGAAGGCCUUCGGGUUGUAAAGUACUUUCAGCGAGGAGGAAGGCGUUGUGGUUAAUAACCGCAACGAUUGACGUUACUCGCAGAAGAAGCACCGGCUAACUCCGUGCCAGCAGCCGCGGUAAUACGGAGGGUGCAAGCGUUAAUCGGAAUUACUGGGCGUAAAGCGCAUGCAGGCGGUCUGUCAAGUCGGAUGUGAAAUCCCCGGGCUCAACCUGGGAACUGCAUCCGAAACUGGCAGGCUAGAGUCUUGUAGAGGGGGGUAGAAUUCCAGGUGUAGCGGUGAAAUGCGUAGAGAUCUGGAGGAAUACCGGUGGCGAAGGCGGCCCCCUGGACAAAGACUGACGCUCAGGUGCGAAAGCGUGGGGAGCAAACA
rnacentral:rRNA from 1 species